rnacentral:rRNA from 1 species
UUUUUGGAGAGUUUGAUCCUGGCUCAGGACGAACGCUGGCGGCGUGCCUAACACAUGCAAGUCGUGCGA